rnacentral:rRNA from 1 species
GACGAACGCUGGCGGCGUGCUUAACACAUGCAAGUCGAACGGAAAGGCCCUUCUUUUGUGGGGUGCUCGAGUGGCGAACGGGUGAGUAACACGUGGGUAACCUGCCCUUGACUUUGGGAUAACUUCAGGAAACUGGGGCUAAUACCGGAUAGGAGCUCCUGCUGCAUGGUGGGGGUUGGAAAGUUUCGGCGGUUGGGGAUGGACUCGCGGCUUAUCAGCUUGUUGGUGGGGUAGUGGCUUACCAAGGCUUUGACGGGUAGCCGGCCUGAGAGGGUGACCGGCCACAUUGGGACUGAGAUACGGCCCAGACUCCUACGGGAGGCAGCAGUGGGGAAUAUUGCACAAUGGGCGGAAGCCUGAUGCAGCAACGCCGCGUGCGGGAUGACGGCCUUCGGGUUGUAAACCGCUUUCGCCUGUGACGAAGCGUAAGUGACGGUAAUGGGUAAAGAAGCACCGGCUAACUACGUG